CCUUUACUAAAACUCGGGUUUGGGCUCCACAUGAUAUGUUAUUGUUGUUGAAGCCCAACUCAUUCUCACAAGGUUCUGAAAUUCAAACACUUGGAAGUGUCUCACUAUAUAUUCUGUAUCUGGAAGUGUAAACUGUGAAGAGGAGAAAUCAUGUGUCAUAGUUACAAAGCUCUGGUUCUAAUUCAAAAAAUGGUGAAAGUGCCUCCAACAAAAGCACUUUCUUUGUUCAAUUCUUUAAACCAUCACCACACCCCUCAAUCUAUUUCCUUCAUUCUUAACCAUCUUCUCUCCUCUGCCAUGCUCUCCCAUGCCCAUUCACUUCUCCUCCGCCUCAUCUCCGGCAGAAUUUCCUCUCCUUUCUUCUCUCCAUCAUCACUCAUGCACCAACUCACACACACCCAGUUCAUUCAUAAUUCAACACAUACUCUUCUCUACGAGGCAAUCAUUAAUGCCUAUGUUCAUUCUCACUUACCUGAUCAAGCUCUCUGUUUCCUCAACCACAUGGUUCGUAAUGCCCAUUUUCCAACAUCAAACACCUUUAAUAACCUUUUGAUCUUGCUCCUUAGAUCUAAUUGUUUUGGUAAAGCAUGGCUGCUUUUCAAUGAAAUGAAGGGUAAGGUUGCUAUGGAUGUCUACAGUUUCGGGAUUAUGAUCAAGGGUUGCUGUGAAGUUGGUGACUUGAUCAAGAGUUUUCGGCUUUUGGCUUUGUUGAUUCGCAUGGGUUUCUCUCCAAAUGUUGUCUUAUACACUACCUUGAUUGAUGGUAGUUGCAAGAUUGGUUAUGUUCAUUUGGCAAAGAAGGUGUUUUGUAAGAUGGAGGGGUUGGGCUUAGUUCCCAAUCAGCACACUUACAGUGUAUUGAUAAACGGGUUCUUCAAGCAUGGCCUUCAAAAGGAAGCAUUUCUAAUGUAUGAAAAUAUGAAGCAGAGAGGAACGGUGCCCAAUGUUUAUGCUUACAAUUGUAUCAUCAAAGAAUAUUGUAAGGAUGGGAAUGUAGAUAAGGCUUUUAAGGUGUUCGAUGAAAUGCGUGAGAAAGGUGUGGCAUAUGGUAUUGUAACGUAUAAUAUUUUGAUUGAUGGGUUGUGCAGAUUGAAGAAGCUUCAGGAAGCAGUAAAGUUGGUUGAUAAAGUGUAUCUUGUUGGCUUAACUCCUAAUUUAGUUACAUAUAAUACACUAAUCAAUGGUUUUUGUGGCAUUGGAAAGAUGGACACUGCUGUUAGAUUAUUUAAUCAAUCAAAGGCAAUUGGACUAUCGCCAUCAUUGGUGACCUACAAUACUUUGAUUGCAGGGUAUUGUAAUAUUGGAAAUUUGGAUAGAGCUCUUAACAUGGUCAAGGAAAUGGAGGAGAGAAGCAUUGCUCCUUCCGAAGUGACUUAUACAAUCCUUAUUGAUGCUUUUGUACAAUUAAAUCAUAUGGACAAAGCAUUUGAAAUAAAGUCUUUAAUGGAGAAGUCUGGUUUGAAUUUAGAUGUUUUUACAUGUAGUAUCCUUUUGCAUGGGUUUUGUAUGAACGGUCAUAUGAAAGAAGCAUCAAAGCUCUUCAAAUCAUUGGGUGAGCUGCGCUUGGAACCAAACAGUGUCAUUUAUAAUAUCAUGAUUCAUGGUUAUUGCAAAGAAGAAAGCUCUUACAGGGCUCUUAGAUUACUCAAAGAAAUGAUUGACAAUGGAAUGGUUCCAAAUUUGGCUAGCUUUUGUUCAACCAUAGGGCUUCUUUGCAAGGAAGGAAAGUGGAAGGAAGCGGAGUUUCUCAUACAGAAGAUGAUAAAUUCAGGAUUGGAGCCCUCAGUUUCUUUGUACAAUAUGAUUUACCAAGCCAAAAGUGAAGUUCUGGUACAAUAGCCAUGAAAAUAAUAUAACAGAUUCAUAGCUUUACUUUAUCUUCCAUUCUGCUUCAUAUCAUAGUAUAAAUUAUGAUAAUUAAUCAAGCUCAUUUAAGAAUAUUUUUUAAUUUAUUUGUUGCUCAAUUUGAUUACGAUAGAAUAUCUUGAGUGCAUAUUUCUGCAUUUUGGCAUACAAUGGGAAGGUAAGAAAUUGAAUCUUAGAAUGUUUACAAUCAUUCUUAUUUGUGAUAAACCGAGACAAAUCAACUAUUCUACUAGCCACCUACUUGAAUGUAGUUAAAGUGGUGCAACAACCUUGGAGCUUUGCUGGCGUGAAUGAGCAAGUUACAUUAGACAAGUUUGAUGGAGGUGGUCAUAACAACUCCAUUUGAUGGAGCUGCCAAAACUAUUUAUAGAAUUGGCGCAACUUACUUUGCUGUAUUUACUAAUGAGCACAUCCCUUGCCCGCAUCUGAAUUCUGAAGAUGUGGUCCUGGUCGACAUUCGGCGAUGGUUGGCGGCUUAGCUGCUACCGGAAAUCCCCUUAACGCAUGGAUCAAGGAUGCAUCGUAAGGGUAAGGAGAAAGCCACUCCAUUGGCUCCCAUCCCUGUCCGUUCGAGCACGCAGCCGGACAUUUUCAUUAAUGAGGAGGCCGAAGAACAAUACAGAAAAUUGGAGAAAAAGGCCUUCCAUUAUGAAAGGAUGAUGAAUGUGCCGGAGAAACAUGCUGAAGCCAUCCACAACCGGCUAGAGUAUUAUGGAUGGAAAUUCAUAGAGUUUGACGCUGUGGAAAUCAAUGAGCAACUAGUUAAAGAAUUCUAUGCAAAUCUGCUGAAGGGAGACACCGAGACCGUUUUUCUUAGAGGGGUGCAGUUAGACACCUCCCCACAUUCUUUAGAGGCUCUUUUUCAGAUUCCUCAUAUUCCGCCAAGUCGAGAAUAAGUAAUGAUGGAAAUUAGAUAAAAUAAUUCCAUUGUGAGUAUAGUCCAAACCGGCAAUUCAAUCCUCUCAAUCAAAGUUUGAUAUUUUUCAAUUAAAAAUAAUACCGAGAGUAAUUAAACUUUGAGUCGUCUCCCUCGAACAAUGCACAUAAGGGUGUCAUGCUCUUGGUUGUGAGGAUACGGGGUUUUGAAAUCAAAGAACGAAAGAUUGAAAGAACUUAAGAAAUAAAAGAACUAAGAGAUGAUCAAAGUUGGAAUUAAUGCAAUUAAAAGGAAACAAGGUCAAAACUAGUGAAAAUGCUAUAAAUGCAUAAAGAGCCUUGACAUGGGAAUGAGAAUUAAGGAAUCCUAUCAUCAUCAUAACUACAACUAUGGAAACUAUGAUGAGUCAAUUUCGCUUCGUCAAGCCCUAACAUCGAGGAGUAAGUCAAGAAAGCACAAUUGACCUUAAUCCAUAAGUCAUAGCUGAUUUAGUAAUUGCUUAGUAAGAAGCUAGCGUCAAUGAAAACAAGAGUUAACUAACUACCUAAGAAUUACCACUAAAUGUCAGACAUUAUGACUCUAGUAUCCUAGAAACUCAUGUCCCAAGGCAAGGUGUGAAAAUCUACUCAAAAUCCGAAGUUGGCAUUUUCACAAACACCUUGUGGGCAUAAAACCAAAACAUGAGAAAUUACAAGGGAGAAUAGAAAACUAUAACCAACUAUUCACAAUAUCAACUAUAAACAUUCAAUCAAACAUA